rnacentral:tRNA from 1 species
GCCCGGCUAGCUCAGUCGGUAGAGCAUGAGACUCUUAAUCCCAGGGUAUGGGUCGAGGCCACACGUUAGGGCA